rnacentral:rRNA from 1 species
ACUUUCUAGCAGUGAGGAAGGUGGUAGUGUUAAUAGCACUAUCAUUUUCGACGUUAGCUGCAGAAGAAGCACCGGCUAAACUCCGUGCCUAGCUAGCCGCGGUAAUACGGAGGGUGCGAGCGUUAAUCGGAAUUACUGGGCGUAAAGCGCUAUGCAGGUGGUUUGUUAAGUCAGAUGUGAAAGCCCGGGGCUCAACCUCGGAAUUGCAUUUGAAACUGGCAGACUAGAGUACUGUAGAGGGGGUAGAAUUUCAGGUGUAGCGGUGAAAUGCGUAGAGAUCUGAAGGAAUACCGGUGGCGAAGGCGGCCCCCUGGACAGAUACUGACACUCAGACUGCGAAAGCGUGGGGAGCAAACAGGAUUAGAUACCCUGGUAG